UUGCGAUGAUGAUGAAAAUACAUGUAAUUGAAAGUUGUCUCAAUAGUGAGAGCUUGAUGUAGUGCUCAACCUGAGCGGUUACCUGAGCAA